AAUGGACGCAAGUCUGAUGGAGCAACGCCGCGUGAGUGAAGAAGGUUUUCGGAUCGUAAAGCUCUGUUGUUGGUGAAGAAGGAUAGAGGUAGUAACUGGCCUUUAUUUGACGGUAAUCAACCAGAAAGUCACGGCUAACUACGUGCCAGCAGCCGCGGUAAUACGUAGGUGGCAAGCGUUGUCCGGAUUUAUUGGGCGUAAAGCGAGCGCAGGCGGAAAAAUAAGUCUAAUGUGAAAGCCCUCGGCUUAACCGAGGAAUUGCAUCGGAAACUGUUUUUCUUGAGUGCAGAAGAGGAGAGUGGAACUCCAUGUGUAGCGGUGGAAUGCGUAGAUAUAUGGAAGAACACCAGUGGCGAAGGCGGCUCUCUGGUCUGCAACUGACGCUGAGGCUCGAAAGCAUGGGUAGCGAACAGGAUUAGAUACCCUGGUAGUCCAUGCCGUAAACGAUGAGUGCUAAGUGUUGGGAGGUUUCCGCCUCUCAGUGCUGCAGCUAACGCAUUAAGCACUCCGCCUGGGGAGUACGACCGCAAGGUUGAAACUCAAAGGAAUUGACGGGGGCCCGCACAAGCGGUGGAGCAUGUGGUUUAAUUCGAAGCAACGCGAAGAACCUUACCAGGUCUUGACAUCUAG
rnacentral:rRNA from 1 species